AUAAGGGGAUUGCUUAGUACGGCGAGUGAGCGGCAAAAGCUCAAAUUUGAAAUCUGGUACCUUCGGUGCCCGAGUUGUAAUUUGGAGAGGGCAACUUUGGGGCCGUUCCUUGUCUAUGUUCCUUGGAACAGGACGUCAUAGAGGGUGAGAAUCCCGUGUGGCGAGGAGUGCGGUUCUUUGUAAAGUGCCUUCGAAGAGUCGAGUUGUUUGGGAAUGCAGCUCUAAGUGGGUGGUAAAUUCCAUCUAAAGCUAAAUAUUGGCGAGAGACCGAUAGCGAACAAGUACAGUGAUGGAAAGAUGAAAAGAACUUUGAAAAGAGAGUGAAAAAGUACGUGAAAUUGUUGAAAGGGAAGGGCAUUUGAUCAGACAUGGUGUUUUGUGCCCUCUGCUCCUUGUGGGUAGGGGAAUCUCGCAUUUCACUGGGCCAGCAUCAGUUUUGGUGGCAGGAUAAAUCCAUAGGAAUGUAGCUUGCCUCGGUAAGUAUUAUAGCCUGUGGGAAUACUGCCAGCUGGGACUGAGGACUGCGACGUAAGUCAAGGAUGCUGGCAUAAUGGUUAUAUGCCGCCCGUCUAACACACCCAGAAAAACAA
rnacentral:rRNA from 1 species